rnacentral:rRNA from 1 species
GUAACGUGCCUAGUAGCGGGGGAUAACUACGCGAAAGCGUAGCUAAUACCGCAUACGCCCUACGGGGGAAAGCAGGGGAUCGCAAGACCUUGCACUAUUAGAGCGGCCGAUAUCGGAUUAGCUAGUUGGUGGGGUAACGGCUCACCAAGGCGACGAUCCGUAUCUGGUUUGAGAGGACGACCAGCCACACUGGGACUGAGACACGGCCCAUACUCCUACGGGAGGCAGCAGUGGGGAAUUUUGGACAAUGGGGGAAACCCUGAUCCAGCCAUCCCGCGUGUGCGAUGAAGGCCUUCGGGUUGUAAAGCACUUUUGGCAGGAAAGAAACGUCAUGGGCUAAUACCCCGUGAAACUGACGGUACCUGCAGAAUAAGCACCGGCUAACUACGUGCCAGCAGCCGCGGUAAUACGUAGGGUGCAAGCGUUAAUCGGAAUUACUGGGCGUAAAGCGUGCGCAGGCGGUUCGGAAAGAAAGAUGUGAAAUCCCAGAGCUUAACUUUGGAACUGCAUUUUUAACUACCGAGCUAGAGUGUGUCAGAGGGAGGUGGAAUUCCGCGUGUAGCAGUGAAAUGCGUAGAUAUGCGGAGGAACACCGAUGGCGAAGGCAGCCUCCUGGGAUAACACUGACGCUCAUGCACGAAAGCGUGGGGAGCAAACAGGAUUAGAUACCCUGGUAGU